CCUACGGGAGGCUGCAGUGAGGAAUAUUGGUCAAUGGACGGAAGUCUGAACCAGCCAUGCCGCGUGCAGGAAGACGGCUCUAUGAGUUGUAAACUGCUUUUGUCCAAGGGUAAACCUGAAUACGUGUAUUCAGCUGAAAGUACUGUACGAAUAAGGAUCGGCUAACUCCGUGCCAGCAGCCGCGGUAAUACGGAGGAUGCGAGCGUUAUCCGGAUUUAUUGGGUUUAAGGGGUGCGCAGGCGGAGGUUCAAGUCAGCGGUAAAAGCGCGGGGCUCAACCCCGCUGCGCCGUUGAAACUGUGUCCCUUGAGUGCGCGAGGGGUAGGCGGAAUGCGUGGUGUAGCGGUGAAAUGCAUAGAUAUGGCGCAGAACUCCGAUCGCGAAGGCAGCCUACCGGCGCGCAACUGACGCUGAGGCACGAAAGCGUGGGUAUCGAACAGGAUUAGAUACCCGUGUAGUC
rnacentral:rRNA from 1 species